rnacentral:rRNA from 1 species
GACGAACGCUGGCGGCGUGCUUAACACAUGCAAGUCGAACGGUGAAGGGACCGGUUUUUGCUGGUUCUGGAUGAGUGGCGAACGGGUGAGUAACACGUGAGUAACCUGCCCCCUUCUUCUGGAUAACCGCAUGAAAGUGUGGCUAAUACGGGAUAUUCUGCGCCUGCUGCAUGGUGGGUGUGGGAAAGAUAUUGUUUCGGUGGGGGAUGGGCUCGCGGCCUAUCAGCUUGUUGGUGGGGUGAUGGCCUACCAAGGCGGUGACGGGUAGCCGGCCUGAGAGGGUGGACGGUCACACUGGGACUGAGACACGGCCCAGACUCCUACGGGAGGCAGCAGUGGGGAAUAUUGCAUAAUGGGCGCAAGCCUGAUGCAGCGACGCCGCGUGAGGGAUGGAGGCCUUCGGGUUGUAAACCUCUUUCGCCAGUGAAGCAGGCCUGUCCCUUUUGUGGGUGGGUUGACGGUAGCUGGAUAAGAAGCGCCGGCUAACUACGUG